UACGUAGGGGGCAAGCGUUGUCCGGAAUCAUUGGGCGUAAAGAGCGUGUAGGCGGCCCGAUAAGUCCGCUGUGAAAGUCGAGGGCUCAACCCUCGAAUGCCGGUGGAUACUGUCGGGCUUGAGUACGGGAGAGGCGAGUGGAAUUCCUGGUGUAGCGGUGAAAUGCGCAGAUAUCAGGAGGAACACCGAUUGCGAAGGCAGCUCGCUGGAACGUUACUGACGCUGAGACGCGAAAGCGUGGGGAGCAAACAGG
rnacentral:rRNA from 1 species